AUCCAUUAACCAGGGGGCCUCGCCGAAUAUGACACUGACGCUUAAUAUGGACCGAACCCCACGGAUCCAUAAAAGCUCAGUGUCAAACUCGGCGUGAGCCCCCGACCCCUUAUAAUAUU
rnacentral:pre_miRNA from 1 species